GCAAGUCGAACGAAGCUGAAAGUGCUUGCACUUUUAGACUGAGUGGCGGACGGGUGAGUAACGCGUGGGCAACCUGCCUUACACAGGGGGACAACACCGGGAAACUGGUGCUAAUACCACAUGACAUUGACUUUCGGCAUCGGAAGUUAAUUAAAGGAGUAAUCUGGUGUAAGAUGGGCCCGCGUACGAUUAGCUAGUUGGUAAGGUAAUGGCUUACCAAGGCAACGAUCGUUAGCCGAACUGAGAGGUUGAUC
rnacentral:rRNA from 1 species